rnacentral:misc_RNA from 1 species
AAAACUAUGUAGCAAGGUUAUAGAGUAUGAUCCUUGUAAUGUCAAAGCUCUAUUCAGAAGGGCUCAAGCAUAUCUAAGAAUCAAUGAGCUGGAAAAGGCUGAAAUUGAUAUUAACAAAGCUCUUGAAGUUGAUCCAACCAAUAGAGAUGUGAAGGUGAUGUACAAGGAACUGAAGAAUAAGCAGAAGCAAUAUACACAACAAGAAGUUGA